rnacentral:ncRNA from 1 species
UAAACUUCGUUGAAGAGAACAAGUACACUUUAAGUUCACUCCUCAGAGAGCCGGCGGCAGCUGAAAGUCCGGUGUGUGAGCUAUUGCGGAAUAUCCUCUCUGAGAAGCGGCGCCGAACCUGCGAGAGCAGCAGUAAGUGUUGACGGCUGUCCCCCGUUACAGGGAACGCGAACGUAGAGUUCGCGACUAAGGUGCCGCAUGAAGCACAGCUCGCUUGAGCUGCUUGCCUUCAGCUUAAGUCCAGAAAUUUGGGCAGAAGCAGAUGCGGAACAAGGGUGGUAACGCGACUAAGCCUCGUCCCUUCU